GGGCUUUUCUCGUUGGCUUCCUUCCUCCAAGUCCUCUCGCGGUCUGAGCGCUCGACUCUGCGCGGUGUAGUACUCCAUCAUCUGCGCGCACCACCUGCCGGAGUACAUCUUAGCUGCUUCCAAGUUUCGCCAACUACGAAUAAGGCUGCGAGGAACACGGCAUGAGGAAGCCACAGAGAGCACAGGACACGGGGCAGCGCGCGGGGAGGCCGCACCUGCAGCAGGCGGAGCAUGCGCCAAGAGACCCCUCGGCCCCCUGCCCGAGGGGCGCACGGUGCGAUCAGACGUGACUACAAAUGCCAUGGCGAAUUCAAGCUCAUCCACUACUUUCACACCACGGGUUAUUUUUUAAGAAUUAAAAAGAACCUUCAUUCACGACCUUUGCAAAACGCUAGAGAACCAGUUCAUUUUGGGAACAACCGCAUCAACAAUCAAGCAUCGCUUCUGCUCCUCCUGGAGGAACUGCACUCCCAAGUAACCAGGGCUGAUGGAAAACAUUUUUAAAUUUAGUGUUCCAGCUGAAAAUCAUUAUUUUCCAGCCCAUGGUGAGAAAUAGAUUACGGGAAAAAUCAGUAACGGUGCUGAAUCUGUUAGAUGAAAUGUCUGUGGACAACUUGUAAAGGGUGGGCCAUGCUGAUAACAACUGAAUCCAAUUUUCAAUCUUAGUAUCACAAACAGAGAUAACCAAACACUACAUACUUAUUGGUAGAAGCAAAUAACAUGAAAACAAAACCAGUCCUAAAACUGGUAAAGCUAUUUAUCAGCCACACACUUAUAGGAAACAGCAGGGACAGAGAGGCCUGUUAAAUGACACCACCAGGAAGCAAUGGGGAAAAAUCCAGAAUGUGAGGAAACCUACAGAACUGAGACCCUGAUUUACUGGCCACAUGAACUGAACUGGGAUCACAUAAUUUAGAAAAAAUAUAAGAGACCAACCAAAAGCACAACACACUGAACUUGAUUAAAUCCUGAUCCGAACAAACCUUCCAUAGUUUCCAUGAGAAUUUGAACUAAGACUGGAUACUGAUGACACGAAGGAAUUACUGCUCGUUUACAAGGUUUCACGGUUACGCAUCUUGGAGAAAAGGCGAGGGCAAGGAUGGAAGGCUCCAGAGCUGGGCCUACUUCAGAACAGCCUGAGACUCUGGGGGCACUGGGAGAAGCGGGGAUGACCAACUAGGAUUGACCUUCUUUACGAAAUACAAGACCAUCAAAAUCUACCUCAUAACACAUUUUAAGUGAAAUUAAGAGUGAUCCCAGGAAUCAAUCAAGCAUGCCUGCAGAGUUCAAUAAAGGGAAGAUUGCGGAUUAGACGCUCCCUUCAAAGAUGAAGACCACUCGUGGCAGCUGUGCCGACCAAGAGCCAACAGCACCAAGAGCGGAGCCGCUCAGCAGCAGGAGCACAAGGGACCCAGGCGGCACGGUGGGGGCGAGGGGAACCCCUACGUCACCAAUGCCAACACACUCCACCCAGAGGAGAGAGCCGGCCACUGAGAAAAGCCCCCACCAUCUCCUAAUGGUGCCCUUAGACUUCUGGGAGGUCCAGACGGUCUUCAGAAUGAAUUUGGAAAGGUGCAACCCUGUUUCGGAGGCCUCUGGCAUUGUAUGUGUUUCUACAAUAACCAAUUCUCUCCAAAUGGGUACCCCGUGUGUUAUUUUUGGUAACCUUUCCCCUACCUAGUGACCCAAGGUCACCUUCCCUGACAACUACUGGGUGAGAAACUGCUGACUCGGCCAUCUGGCGCUCUGCUGAGAGUCUCCCCCUCAGUGUUCAGCCUCGUAGCGGAGACUCAGGUUCAGACGACCACGUCCUACAUCAGAGUGCUUGGGUUUGCUUCCGGCUUCGGGCUCAUGCAGACGCUGGGAGGCCGUGGUGCUGGGCCAGCCACUUGAGUUCUGUCACCAUUGUGGGAGACCUGAACUGAGUUUCUGGUUCCAGCCUGGGCCCCCUGGCUGCUGUGGUCAGUACAGGGGUGAAUCAGCGGAUGGGAGCUG